AACGAACGCUGGCGGCAGGCUUAACACAUGCAAGUCGAACGAAGCUGUUUUAACUGGUGCUUGCACCGACUUAAACAACUGAGUGGCGAACGGGUGAGUAACACGUGGGUAACCUGCCCCAAAGCGGGGGAUAACAUUUGGAAACAGAUGCUAAUACCGCAUAACCACAGAAACCACAUGGUUUCUGUGUCAAAGAUGGUUUCGGCUAUCACUUUGGGAUGGACCCGCGGCGUAUUAGCUAGUUGGUAAGGUAAUGGCUUACCAAGGCAAUGAUACGUAGCCGAACUGAGAGGUUGAUCGGCCACAUUGGGACUGAGACACGGCCCAAACUCCUACGGGAGGCAGCAGUAGGGAAUCUUCCACAAUGGACGAAAGUCUGAUGGAGCAACGCCGCGUGAGUGAAGAAGGUUUUCGGAUCGUAAAACUCUGUUGUCAGAGAAGAACGUGUGCGAGAGUAACUGCUCGUGCAGUGACGGUAUCUGGCCAGAAAGCCACGGCUAACUACGUGCCAGCCGUCGCGGUAA
rnacentral:rRNA from 1 species